CACGGAAUUGAAGACUGCAAACCGCGGCCGAAUUUGGGAGCGUAAGUUCGUAAAUUUGGGAGGGUGUGGAAAUCGGUCGCACAAGAAUCAAAAUAAAAACCCCUCUCUGCCAUCGCAUUAUCGCACGCAGCUGCACGAACAAAACGCAGAAAAUACAUUUUCUGCGCCGAGUCUGCCCCUUUCCCUCUCACUCACAGCGCUGCUUCUGCUUCGGUCUCUUCCUCUUCCUACUGCCUAGUCUACAACAAGAACAAGGGUGAGGUCCAUAAUUGACAUUGCACAAAUGACGAACAAAACAUC